AGUGAACGCUGGCGGUAGGCCUAACACAUGCAAGUCGAACGGCAGCACAGUAAGAGCUCGCCCCUACGGGUGGCGAGUGGCGGACGGGUGAGGAAUACAUCGGAAUCUACUUUUUCGUGGGGGAUAACGUAGGGAAACUUACGCUAAUACCGCAUACGACCUACGGGUGAAAUCAGGGGAUCUUCGGACCUUUGCCGACUGAAUUAGCCGAUGUCGCAUUAGCUAGUUGGCGGGGUAAAGGCCCACCAAGGCGACGAUCCGUAGCUGGUCUGAGAGGAUGAUCAGCCACACUGGAACUGAGACACGGUCCAGACUCCUACGGGAGGCAGCAGUGGGGAAUAUUGGACAAUGGGCGAAAGCCUGACCCAGCCAUGCCGCGUGGGUGAUGAAGGUCUUCGGGUCGUAAAGCUCUGUUAUUGGGGAAGAAAAACUGCAGAAGAAACCCUGGCUGUUUUGACGGUACCUAAAGAAUAAGCACCGGCUAACUUCGUG
rnacentral:rRNA from 1 species